GUAAACCAACAAUGAAGAGACAUUAGAAGUACUUCCCAGAACUGAUUCAUUUGAUCAAUCCAGAGGACAUUUUACCUUUUUUAAAAGGUUAAUCCUCACAGAUGUCAAAGUACCGCAUGGUCCAAGUAUUAUACAAAUAAUGAAGUCGUUACAGCAAUGGAUGACUAAGCAUGCCUUGGUAGGUGUCCUGCCUACAAAAUUUCCUAUAAAAGAGUUAAUUUAGGCAUUUUUUGACUGUAGAUAUGUGUGUGUGCGCACAUGCAGAUAGACAUCUCUUUGUGUGUGUGAGACCUCCUGUGUCAGGACAUGGCGGAGGAGAUUCAGUCAUUCUCAGUUCUUCCCCCACCAGGGAUUUACAGGAAAGGAAGGCUUGGAGGGACCCCAGGGGCCAGUAGGCAUGUAUGGUUUCCCAGGAGCGGUUGGCAUACGUGGGAGACCAGGACACCCAGGAGAGAGGGGGGAGCCUGGAGUCCGAGGCCUGCCUGGACCCCCAGGGAAGAGUGGCCCUCCGGUAGGCAUGCAUCUCCAUCAGCCCAUCAGCCCACCUGGUCGCUUCAUCACUUCCAU
rnacentral:lncRNA from 1 species